rnacentral:rRNA from 1 species
UGGGGAAUAUUGCACAAUGGACGGAAGUCUGAUGCAGCAACGCCGCGUGCGGGAUGACGGUCUUCGGGUUGUAAACCGCUUUUUCUCAUGACGAAGUUUUUUGACGGUAGUGGGGGAAGAAGCACCGGCUAACUACGUGCCAGCAGCCGCGGUGAUACGUAGGGUGCGAGCGUUGUCCGGAAUUAUUGGGCGUAAAGAGCUUGUAGGCGGUUUGUCGCGUCGAUAGUGCAAACUCAGUGCUUAACGCUGAGCCUGCUGUUGAUACGGGCAGACUAGAGGAAGGUAGGGGAGAAUGGAAUUCCCGGUGGAGCGGUGGAAUGCGCAGAUAUCGGGAGGAACACCGGUGGCGAAGGCGGUUCUCUGGGCCUUUCCUGACGCUGAGAAGCGAAAGCGUGGGGAGCGAACAGG